rnacentral:antisense_RNA from 1 species
CCCCCAGGGCAGCUGAGGCACAGGGAGGGGGCUGCAGGGGCUGCUCUGGAGGGGGCUUACUGCACAGGCUCAGCCAGCCCACACUCAGAGAGCAGGGUCCCAGGGUAGAGUCAGCACCCCCAGCUCAGAGGCUGGGGUCUCCUUACACUGCCCCCUUCCCACAGACCUUCCAUUUCCCACCUGCAGAACGGACACAGCACUGUCUGCCCUGACUACUGCCCAGGGGCAGGGGAGGUUGUGAAACAGGUUCUGGAGAAGGUGUAAGAACUUUUUAAAAAGGAAAGAAAAGAGAAAGCCCAUCCAGGUAAGGGCAGCCUGGUGACUAUUACCCUGGGGAGACUCCCCACCCACACUGCCACUCCAGGCUCACCCGAGGGCUGCAGCUUCCUCCGGAUGGAUCCAGGGCGGCUACUGGUCCCAGAGCUGGGGGCUGAGUGGGCCCGUGCGGAGGGCUGUGGCGUCUGACAAGCCGGCUCCCACUGUGAGCAGGGAAGGGCGGGUGGGCGGGGGCCACGGCUGCCCUGGCUCCCCACCCUGCUGUGCUUCUCUCUACUCCCCUGCCUGCCUCCUAACCUCCUAACACCCAGUUUCCUCAUCUGCAAAAUGGGCAUGAUGCUCGUGCCCCAGCCUCACAGUUAUGGCAAGAAUUACAUGAGAUAAUACAUGCAAAGAAGUC